rnacentral:lncRNA from 1 species
GAUGGAGAUCUCAACCAUAGAAUACAAGCUAGAUGGAUGAAGUGGAAGAGUGCAUCCGGCGUGUUAUGUGACCGCCGUAUGCCACUGAAGCUCAAGGGAAAAUUUUAUAGGACGGCAAUAAGGUCGGCGAUGUUGUAUGGCACAGAAUGUUGGGCGGUGAAGCAUCAACACGUACACAAAAUGGGUGUAGCGGAGAUGAGGAUGCUUCGUUGGAUGUGUGGGCACACGAGAAAGGAUAAGAUUAGGAAUGAGGAUAUCCGGGGUAAAGUAGGAGUAGCCGAAAUUGAAGGAAAGAUGAGAGAAAAUCGGUUACGGUGGUUUGGACAUGUGCAAAGAAGGCCUACUGACGCUCCGAUUAGAAGAUGCGACUAUGGGACAGAGGUUCAGGGUCGAAGGGGUAGAGGAAGACCUAGGAAAACUUUGGAAGAGACCCUAAGAAAAGACUUAGAGUACUUGGAUCUAACGGAGGACAUGACACAGGACAGAACACAAUGGCGUUCUAAGAUUCAUAUAGCCGAUCCCACUCAGUGACUUGGAUUUUCCAAGUCUCCAACCGAGAAGUUUUCCUCACUCGGGAAAUUAAGGGAACACUACCUCAACCUACAUGCUCCACUCACAAAGCUUCAACAUACAAGUUUCAACAGAAGAAAAUUCAAAGAACUUAGCGAAGAAGGCUUUGGUGUAUUUAACAUAAUACGUUGAAAUGAAGGAAAGCUUAUUUAUUGAUAUCCCCGAUAAGUUACAAAUAUGUACAUAUACUUGAGUCAAAAUAAACAAAUAAGAGGGAGCAUUCACAAAGGUUGCUUAGGAGAAGUCUCAGCAGUCGGUAGAGCCCCAGAAAGAGAAGGCACCGGAGGGGGAUCAUUCAGAGCCUCAGUACUGGACAGAACCCUAGAAGGAUGAGGCAUCAGAGGUUGAUCAUUUGGAGCUUCAUUACGCGGUACAGCUCCAGAAGACGAAGGCAAUAAAUGCCUUUGGAACAAACCCACAAAUCUCUGAUGAUCAAGUAAAACCUGACCAUCAGAUUCCUUCAUCUGGUCAAGCUUCCUCUUCAUGUUUGUAGCAUAGUCAUGUGUGAGCCGGUGCAACUGUUUAUUCUCAUGCUUGAGCCCUCUAAUCUCCUGUUUGAGACUCAUCACUUCAGCCGCCAAUGAUUCAACUUGGCGGGUUCGAGCAAAUAGGCGUUGGGCCAUAUUAGACACAGAACCUGCACACUGAACACUGAGAGCCAGAGAAUCCUUAACAGCCAACUCAUCAGACCGUUUGGAAAGUAAUCUGUUAUCUUUGGGAGUGAGAAGGUUCUUGGCCACUACCGCAGCGGUCAUAUCAUUCUUCAUCACGGAAUCCCCAACGGUAAGAGGACCAGUAGGGGAGACGAAGGAUGGGCGCCAUAUGUUGUCUGGAGAAGGCGGGGCUGUCUCUUCAACAAGGUUCAAAUCAAAACGACUGUCGGAGGGGCCAGACAUUUUCAAAGGUGUUGAAGAGAGAAGAGGUCGGACAAAUCAAGAUCUUAGAAGUGCAAGAAUGGAGCUUCUACUGGUGGAUAUUCAAGUGUGCUUUGGAACUUAAUGUCAGCCCCUAUAAAAAUCUGCACUCGACGAAGCUUCAGAAAUCGAAGAGGCGCCUGCUUAGAAAUCGAAGAGGCGUUUGCUUUCUCAAAAGCUAGGCUGCUCAGAGACCACGAUGGUCGAUCUCAAAAAUCGAAGAGGCGUUUGCUUUCUCAAAAGCUGGGCUGCUUAAAGACCACGAAGGCCGAUCUCAGAAAUCGAAGAGGCUUGCUUUCUCAAAAGCUGGGCUGCUCAGAGACCACGAGGGCCAUCUCAGAAAUCGAAGAGGCACCUACUUUUCCAGCCUUGUCAGCACCUGUCACACGCACACUCAGCUUUGCGGAAAUUAUGGGCAUUCUGUCGAAGAUUUCUGGCGAAGUAGAAAGCACAUGAAUCGUACUGUUCAAUCACCAACUUCCCACACGCAACAGUAGCUCAUGGGUACCACAGAUAACUUUGCCAAAGUUCUCUGACAAAGUUGAGACACGUGAAGCUUGCAGCUCCCACUACAUCGCUCUAACCAAGAAGGGUAAAAGAAUAGCAAAGAAACAACACUAACAAAGUUUAGACACAUAAAUUUUGAAGGUCUAGCUACCAUAUUAUUACCCACAAGGGUAAAGGAACAGUACCACUGAUGGAUAAUUGGAAAGUCCCGGUGUGUCAACCUCUGUGCUUCGUGGCAAGGUAGACUAGCAAACAUGCCCAACCUUUACUCACAUUCGAGAAAACACUCCCAACAAGAUUGGUUGCUCCAAAAUCGAAGAGGCACCGCCCUCCGAAUCUCGAGAGCCAGACUCCCAACAUGAUUACUUUCUCAAAAAUUGAAGAGAGGGUAAAUGAACAGUACCACUGCUGGAUAAUUGGAAAGUCCCUGUGUGUCAACCUCUGUGCUUCGUGGCAAGGUAGACUAGCAAACAUGCCCAACCUUUACUCACAUUCGAGAAAACACUCCCAACAAGAUUGCUUGCUCCAAAAUCGAAGAGGCACCGCCCUCCGAAUCUCUAGAGCCAGACUCCCAACAUGAUUACUUUCUCAAAAAUCGAAGAGAGGGUAAAGGAACAGUACCACUGCUGGAUAAUUGGAAAGUCCCUGUGUGUCAACCUCUGUGCUUCGUGGCAAGGUAGACUAGCAAACAUGCCCAACCUUUACUCACAUUCGAGAAAACACUCCCAACAAGAUUGCUUGCUCCAAAAUUGAAGAGGCACCGCCCUCCGAAUCUCGAGAGCCAGACUCCCAACAUGAUUACUUUCUCAAAAAUCGAAGAGACACCGCUCUCCGAAUCUCGAGAGCCAGACCCCCAGCAAGAUUGCUUUCUCAAAAAUCGAAGAGGCAUCGUUCUCUGAAUCUCGAGAGCCAGAUCCCCGACAUGAUUGCUUGUUCAAAAACCGAAGAGGCACCACUUUCCCAACUUCAAGAGCUAGAUCUCCUUGGAUAAAGCUUGUCUGUAAUCUUCACACGCAACAUCAGCUUUCCAGAUACCACAGACCACUUUUUCAAAGUGCUCUGACAGAGUUAAAACAUGUGAAGCUGGCAGCUCCCACUACCGUGGUAUGACCAAGCAGGGUAAAGGAAUAUCAUUAUUACUUUAUAUUAUGGAGACUCCUAUAUAUGUCGACCUCCAUCCCCAACGGACAGGCAGACCUGCAAAAAUGCUCAACCCUUCCUCUUAUCUGAGAGGGCAUUCCCAACGAAGCCUUUCGAAAUAUUCAGCUUUCUUUCCCCCCGAUAACACCUCUGUAAACAAGCUAUACUAGAGCAAGAAUAUCUCAUAUCAUCAGGGUUAAAAGCAAGAGUAUCCCAUAUCAUGCGUUUUCUCUGUCUUUUCCUUUGGCCUUGUUCUUACCUGCAAGACAAGGAGAAAGAGAGCAAUCAGUCAGCACUUGGAAUCAAGCUUCCAGCCAGGAACUGACUACCUGGAACCCCUUACCUGAUUACUUACCUAGCAUUGCUCUCGAGUACUCAUCUUCAACAUCUUAUGCUUCCAGGGAAGAUACCGCAUCUGCCUGAGGAACAAAUAGGGCAAGUGAGAAGGAUACAAGGAAGCAUGUGGAGACAAGCGUAACAGCACACGUGCCGAUACAUCCACUACUCUGUCAAAAGCAAAAGUAUCCCAUAUCAACAGGGUCGAACGUACUCUAGAUUUGAUGGACUUGUUUUGACCCUCAAAUUCUUCAGUCGGCCUUAUACUCUUGAGGAAACCAGAAAACCCUCCAGCCCAGUUCAAGAAUAAGCCUGUGAAAAGUUACUUCUUCAAAAGCAAAAAUAUCCCAUAUCAUCUCUUAUCAUUUUUCUUCUCUUUAUCCUUCAUGCUGCCUGCAAGAUAGGGAGAAUGUGAACAAUUAGCCGGAGCUCUGAUUGCUUACCUUGUCUGUCACCUCUUUCAGCAGAUCCCCUAGCUCGGCGACUUGGGGGACUCCUACUACUUGGUUUGUAUCGCGCUUGACCAAGCUUGAAACUACAAGUAAGCUUCAAGUGAAAUUGAUACAUUACCUUGUGCAUCUCCACCAGUUACAGAUACCACCCCUGGAUGGAGGAAGAGUACUUCCAGAGAAGAUGCCACAUCUACCUAUGAGACAGAUAAGGCAAGUCAAGACGAUACCACACUCCGGUACUUAGAAGUUUCGUGGUUACGAGAUCAUUCUCCCACAAUAUUUCCUAAUGUCAUUUGUACUAAAUCAUUCACUUGUACUCACUAAAGGAGAGCUUGAACCUAUGUACUUGUGUAAACCCUUCACAAUUAAUGAGAACUCCUCUAUUCCGUGGACGUAGCCAAUCUGGGUGAACCACGUACAUCUUGUGUUUGCUUUCCUAUCUCUAUCCAUCUAUAUACUUAUCCACAAUAAUGACCGGAGCAAUCUAGCGAAGAUCACAAAAAGUGACUGUUUUCGCUACCUAGGAUCUAUCUUGCAAGAGAACGGAGACUUAGAUGGAGAUCUCAACCAUAGAAUACAAGUUGGAUGGUUGAAGUGUAAGAGUGCAUCCGGCGUGUUGUGUGACCGUCGUAGGCCACUGAAGCUCAAGGGAAAAUUUUAUAGGACGGCAAUAAGGCCGCGAUGUUGUAUGGCACAGAAUGUUGGGCGGUGAAGCAUCAACACGUACACAAAAUAGGUGUAGCGGAGAUGAGGAUGCUUCGUGGGAUGUAUGGGCACACGAGAAAUGAUAAGAUUGGGAAUGAGGAUAU